UAAUACGGAGGAUGCAAGCGUUAUCCGGAUUUAUUAGGUUUAAAGGGUGUGUAGGCGGGACUCUAAGUCAGUGGUGAAAUCUUUCGGCUUAACCGAAAAACUGCCAUUGAUACUGGAGUUCUUGAGUAUAGUUGAGGUAGGCGGAAUGUGUAAUGUAGCGGUGAAAUGCUUAGAUAUUACACAGAACACCGAUUGCGAAGGCAGCUUACUAAGCUAUUACUGACGCUGAUGCACGAAAGCGUGGGUAGCGAACAGGAUUAGAUACCCUGGUAGUCCACGCCGUAAACGAUGAUUACUCGUUGUUGGCGAUACAUUGUCAGCGACUGAGCGAAAGCAUUAAGUAAUCCACCUGGGGAGUACGUUCGCAAGAAUG
rnacentral:rRNA from 1 species